CCUACGGGAGGCAGCAGUGAGGAAUAUUGGUCAAUGGGCGGGAGCCUGAACCAGCCAAGCCGCGUGAGGGAAGAAGGUACAGCGUAUCGUAAACCUCUUUUGUCAGGGAACAAAGGCGGGGACUAGUCCCCGGCUGAGGGUACCUGAAGCAAAAGCAUCGGCUAACUCCGUGCCAGCAGCCGCGGUAAUACGGAGGAUGCGAGCGUUAUCCGGAUUUAUUGGGUUUAAAGGGUGCGCAGGCGGCCUGUUAAGUCAGCGGUAAAAGCCCGGGGCUCAACCCCGGCGAGCCGUUGAAACUGGCGGGCUGGAGUGGGAGAGGAGAACGCGGAAUGCGCGGUGUAGCGGUGAAAUGCUUAGAUAUCGCGCAGAACCCCGAUUGCGAAGGCAGCGUACCGGCUCCACACUGACGCUGAGGCACGAAAGCGUGGGAAUCGAACAGGAUUAGAUACCCCUGUAGUC
rnacentral:rRNA from 1 species